UUAACAAGUACUACUUUAAACCAAACACCGUAGAACCCUGAUGAAUUCUAAUUGAUAUCAAUAAAAGACGUUUGACAAAUCAACAUAACUCAUAUUAGAACGUUAGCAAUGAACGGUCGAUCAACGACUACUGCUUCACCGAUAUCACCAUACAUUCAAUUCAGUUCAGCAACGCCACCGUUUCGACUGGUGGUGCUUCAGUACUGCCAAGCCUUUCUGCUUCUCCGUCCCAGCCGGCGGAGGGUGGAGAAGUGCACGGAGGCCGAAACAGAUUGCGGAAGGAAGCCAUUUUGGUGACAUCAUAAACAAAGACUACUGCGUGGACAUUACGGUAGUAGUGUUCCACCAUGGAUUUACGAAAUCGCUCCUGGCCAGCUGUGUCCCAUACCUGCACCUGAAGAUGAGAUGAGUCUUGUUUCAGAUGAAAAUAGUAAACGACAAGUGUGUGUUUCUCAGUAUUAAUUCAAUAACCAGAGAGGAUUUUGAGAAAAACAGCCGUUAUUUGCAUCGACUCAACAUGCAGAUAUUUCACGAACAGCCCUGCAAAACAUUAUUUUGUGGUCUCUCCAAAACCUCACGCACAUGCGCUCUAGAAAACACGACUUAACAGCCAGAAUCCAAAUUAUCCAAAACCGACAUGAAUUACAUGAACCGACAACUUUGGUUGCCAUAGUGACAAAGGAUUCUGACAAAUAACGUCACAGCAUAUACUGUAGCUGACUGUGUAAAACUUCUGAAUGUAUAUAUUUUAUGAUGAACCGAAUCAACAGGAAAGCCAGUUCAAGGGACCAAAAAAAAACAAUUAACACAUUUUUUAAUUGUUAACCAUGAAAGCUAGAAUGCAUGGUCAAAGGGAACUGCAAUGUGUCUGAUCAGCCACCCUCUGUGUUUGUUGUAGAGUAUAAAGGAUGUUUCAUAAGUAUAAAAACAUAAGGAUCCAAUAUUAUGUUCACAUCAAAUUAAAGUAACUUAACAAAAUUGGAAUAUGUUGUAUGCGUCCUCACUCGUCUAAACACAGCCAUCUGAUUAAUAUGGCAUUUGUGGGCGAUGAAGUAAACAGCAAAAUCCACUUGUUUUUCUCCAUCUCAUGCGGCUGCCAUUUUGCCACUUGCUGUCGACUGAAAAAGACAUCACAGGGCUCGGAUAACAACCAAUCACAGCCAACCAGUUUUCUGGAUCUGAUCGUGUGGCAUUCGCAAGCGAAAGCCUUAACACUGGCCCUUUGGCACUGUGAUGUCAUUUUCAUCAGACACGUGCAGAAUUAUCCAGUCGGAAAAAUACAAUACCUUAGACAGAUGCCCAGACAUUAAUGUAGCAGACUUCCAAAAUGUGAGCGGUUCAGCAGUGUGAGUCAUUCUGCACAGUCACAGGAUGGGAGUGGGAGCUGUUUUCACUGGGACCAGAAUGGGCUAGAUUUUUUUUAAAACUAUGGUCCAAGACCAUAGUUAAAGACGGGAUUUUCUGUGAGAGUGGGAUGGCACGGAGUGAAAAUCCACUCCCCUGUCUCUUCUCCAUCCUACAUCUAUUGACAUAUCUGUUGUGAAGACCUAAAACAUUAAUUUGGAAGUUAAUGGCUACAAUAUAGCUUGAGUAUCCACUAAUUUAUUGCACACAGUAAUCUGAAUCUUCGAUACAAAUCCUAUGAAGGCUCUCACCAUAGUCCAACGCUUGUUUUAGCGUCCCAUUAAAGUCACAAUUUUUAAAUAUUUAAAUAAUCAGCAAGACUGAGGAUACCAAUUGUGUCUACCUUGGCUGACGUGUAAUUGAUUCUGCAUCUUAGAUUUAAUCACUCAAGUGCACUAUACAUAGAAAGGAUUGAUGCCCAUGUCAGGUAUCGCCGAUGCCAAGAUAAACAUUUUGCUUAGCGUAUACAUCCAUCCUUUUGCAGUAAUGCGAACACUGUCCAGAGUCCAGGGUCACACAGCCUAUCUCAGUUGACUUCAGGCAAAAUUUAGAGUGGACCUGACCUGCGCUUGUCACUCCUCACUCACAGGCAAGGCAGCUUUAUUUAUAUAGCACUUUUCAUAUACAAGCCAAGACUCCCUGUGAGAAGAGUUAUUUUACUCAAUGGGACCUUUCCUGGUUAAAUUAAAAAAAAAAAAACCAAACACAUUUGCCAACACAAAUACUUGUCACUCACAUAUGUCAGUUUAAACCGAGGCCCUAAGAGGAAGUGAUCUUUACUUCUUUCUCUGAACAGAGCAGGCGUUUUUGAAUGUUACAAUAAAUGUUUCAAAGCACUCAAUAUACCAGAAGUAUAUUGAUUUGAUUGAUUGAUUACCAGAAGGUUUGAUUUCGCUUUAUCCUCACAAGGGUCGCGGGUGAGCUGGCGCCUUUCCCAGCUGACUUUGGGCAGUAGGCAGGCUACACAUUGACCUGGGUGCCAGCCAGUCACAGGGCUCACAUUGACAAACAUCUGCACGCUUAAUCAUACUUUCAUACAGUUAAGUACUUACCAUUGUAAAAUAACAUAAAUGACAAAUUUAUGUCAUUCACUUCUUUCAAAUUAAUUGGCAUGAAGUAUCAUUUCUUUAACAAGUUUACUAAUUAAUGUUGCAACCGUUAGCUAGAUGCACCCCCCCAAAAAAAAAUUACAAAUAUUUUGCACCUCUGAUACCAGAACACCAAUUUGCCACACAGCAAAAGCAGUGACACAAUGUGAAGGAAAUGAGAUGGCUGACUGAACAACUCAACGUGUAUUCAAUAAAAAGAUGGGUGAUGAAGGCUGAUCAAGUGUUUCCAAGUUUUUGUUUUUCGUUCAUGUUAUGUUCACAAAUCCCUUCUUUCGUGUGCUUAGCAUGUUAUUAAACAUAUUAACACAUUUUGAGACUGACUGAAAUGUCUGGUUGAAGAAACACAUUUGUCGUCAUUAUUUGCAGACCCCUUAAGAAAGCCUUUGUCACCCCAAGGUGACAAGUCUAGCUCCGUCACUGAACAUGAGAAAUGGGAGGUAAAGUGAGUGAUCAUCAGCUUGCUUUGUCCAACACUCCAAUAAACUAGCAUGACAAACAAGAGGAAGAGGUUUUUCUACAUUACAUUGCUUAAAAAUGUUUUCAGGAGCAACAAAAUUGAAGAUGAAGAUCCCUCAAUGAUGGUGCCUUUCUUAAUUUAACCACAGGGGCAGCUAUUAACCAAUGCCAAACGAUUAGUAUGAAGUCGUAAUACCAAUUCGGACAUGAACGAACAGUCACUGCUGACUUAAAUAAUGAAGAAAAAAAGGUAAACAAAAAAUCAUCAAUAAUCUCUGAAAUCGGUGAGUGAUAAGAGUAGCUGUGGCAUUUUAUGGGCCUGCUCCAUUAGAGGUGGAGGAUGUGGAUGAGGGGGAGGGAACAAGUAAACACCUCCAAUUUCCAUCCACACAAGCUUCAAUGUUACCUUGAUCGUUUCUCCUUCAAUUUCCACCGCUUUCUCCCUGAAGUCCACGCCGAUGGUGGCCUCGGUGUUGUCCGGAAAGCUACCGCCAGUGAAGCGGAAGUUCCAGAGAGGAGGUGCUCAGGUCCGCGGAGGACGUGAAGCUGGCGCCAGCGUCGUUGCUGCUACUGGCUCGGCUCCGGCUUCUGUAAACAUCCAUGGAUGAUGUCAGAAUGGUGACAUUGUCGUCUGCUCGGCUAGGCCGAGUCGCC